UACUGAUGGUUGAGCGAACUUGCGUUC
rnacentral:sRNA from 1 species